rnacentral:tRNA from 1 species
CUCGGUAUAGCUCAGUUGGUAGAGCGCAUGCUUUGGGAGCAUGAGGCCGGCGGUUCGGAUCCGUCUACCGAGACCA